rnacentral:misc_RNA from 1 species
AAGUCGUAACAAGGUAACCGUAGGUGAACCUGCGGUUGGAUCAUUAGUAAAUUUUGGGAACUUUUUGUUCUCCAACACUGUGUGCACCAUUGUCUGUCUCUGGCGGAACCAGGAGGUUUUGGACCUGACCUGCACCCGUUUCCGGGUGUCAAGGAUCCAUGGUCUGGGUCUCCCUCCGCCGAAUGUUUUAACAUAACCCAUGUCUUUUGUAUUUUGUCUGAUCUUGGAUUCUUGGUCUGUCGCCGUGAGGUGUGCAGCUGAAAAUCUUUUAAAACAACUUUUGACAACGGAUCUCUUGGCUCUC